rnacentral:rRNA from 1 species
CAGCAGCCGCCGCGGUAAAACGUAGGUGGCAAGCGUUGUCCGGAAUUAUUGGGCGUAAAGGGCUCGCAGGCGGUUUCUUAAGUCUGAUGUGAAAGCCCCCGGCUCAACCGGGGAGGGUCAUUGGAGACUGGGAAACUUGAGUGCAGAAGAGGAGAGUGGAAUUCCACGUGUAGCGGUGAAAUGCGUAGAGAUGUGGAGGAACACCAGUGGCGAAGGCGACUCUCUGGUCUGUAACUGACGCUGAGGAGCGAAAGCGUGGGGAGCGAACAGGAUUAGAUACCCGAGUAGUCCCUGUCUCUUAUAC